GUAGUCCGGCCGCCCUGUGACUAACGGCUGGAACCGCCUAAGACACCACCCCAGCCAGCAUGGCCGGCAGGAGCGCACCAUGCUGUCUCCCUCCAGGGAUCCGCACUGCCCUACAAUCCUGCUUUGUGCUGAGAUUGUAGUCCUGCAGGCGUACAACUAACAAGCUGGGUGCAGAUAAGAGACUACAGCUCCCCGCAUCCCAAGCAAAGGUCCCUCCUCUACGGAGCCCCUCCACGCGUCCACUGCGGUUCCGCCGUGCCAAGGGGAGCUUGGGUGUUCACGGGCCUCACCUGCUAGCGAGAAGAUAGCUUGGCCGGGCGGCUGAUCUCACCUUGUAAUUCUGACACUGUGUCUCCCGGGCUUGUCGGCUUCAUGACUUGUGUCCAAAGUUUGAUUUCUCACAGACCAGGAGGACCCAUUGGACCCCCGGGCUGGCUGCAGGGCCCACACCUGGGUUAGACCUCGCACAGGGACACUGCUGCCACUGUAAUAAAGCAUGCCUACACGCUUCUGAAACUGGUGUAGGAACAACCUCAGUUCUGUGAAAGGCGGACGCAGCAGGACAGAAUCUCCGUGGACAUCUGUCUGGAGGAGCAAUUUUACUGCGACAUUUUGAAGAAACAAAUUUAAUUGAUUUCCAAGUUUUUUGAGACAGAGUCUCGCUCUGUCACCAGGCUGUACAGUGCCGUGGCCUGUCUCGGCUCACUGCAACCUCCACCUCCUGGGUUCAAGCGAUUCUUAUGCCUCAGCCUCCCAAGUAUCUGGGACUACAGGCAUGCGCCACCAUGCCCAGCUGAUUUUUGUAUUUUUAGUAGAGACGGAGUUUCACCAUGUUGACCAGGAUGGUCUCAAUCUCUUGACCUCGUUAUCCGGCUGCCUCCUCCUCCCAAAGUGCUGGGAUUACAGGCGUGAGCCACCAUGCCUGGCCACAUCUACUUUUCUAAAUGUGUCAUUAUAUUUGUGAUAUUGUCAUGAUGUUUUCUACUUAUAUUUUAUUCAAAAAUUUUAUACUUUAAGUUCUUACCUUUAGGUCUUUGAUGACUUUUUAUUUGUUUAUGGUGUAGGGUAAAUGUUCAACUUCAUCCUUUUGCUUGUGGAUAUCCAUUUUUUCCCAGCACCAAUUGUUAUAAGGACAGUCCUUUGCCCAUUGAACGGUCUUUGUAUCCCCAUCAAAAAUUAUUUGACCAUAUGCUGCUUUAUACUGUUCCAGUGUCUCUUUGCCAGAACCACACUAUUUUGGAACUUUGUAUUAAGCUUUGGAAUGAGUAAGUGUAAAUUUUGUAACACUGGUCUUCUUUUUCAAGAUAAUUUUGACUCAUUGGGGUCCCUUGAGAUUCCAUAUGAAAUUUAGAUAGGAUUUUUCUAUUUCUGCAAAAUAGAAUUUUUUGCUUUUUUGGUUACUCCUGACGUAUUUUAUUCUUUUCAGUGCUAUUGUAAAUGUGCUUGUUUGCUUAGUUUUGUUUUCUAAUUAUUCAUCAUUACUGUAUAGAAACACAAGUGAUAUUUGCAUGUUAAUUUUGUAUGCUGCUACUAUGCUGAAUUUAUUAGUUGUAAUACUUUUUGUGUGGAUCUGUGAAAUCUCUAGAGCUUUCCACAUAAAAUUAUAUUAUCUGUAGGCUAGAGUAAUUUUACCUCUACAUUUCCAAUUUGGAUAGUUUGUUUCUUUUUAAUUCUUAAUUUGACUAGAACUUCCAACACUAUGUGGAAUAGAAGUGGCAAAAACAGACACCUUUGCCUUGUUCCUGAGCUUAGAGCAGAAGCUUUUUGUCUUUCACCCUGGAGUACAUUGUUUGAUGUGGUUUUUUAAUGUGUGGAUUUCACAAUGGUAGUAUUUUAGUUUUAAAAUUCCUACUUUUUUGAGUGUUUUCACCCUGAAAAGAUUUUGAAUUUCAUAAAAUACUUUUCUCUGCAUCCAUGAGGUGAUCAAUGUUUCUUUUAUUUUGUUAAUGUGUACACAUUGAUCAAUUUUUAUACGUUAAAAAAUUCAUGUUUUAAGAUAUCUUUGCAUUCUAAGAAUAAAUUCCACUUGGUCGUGGUGA